AAAAAAUCUUGCAUAGAAAUCAGUUCUCCAGACAUUCUUCUUGGAGUUUCCGAGUAAUCUGAUUUAAACGAAUCUCUUGCUGCUAUCCUGGUUCCCCUUCUUUUUGAAAAAUAAAUCGUAGACAAGGAAUAUUUCCUCCUUGGGAGUAUGUGCAACAGCAACCAAUCAGCAAAAAUAUAAAGUUAAUGAAACGAUACCUGUGUAUGAAGAAAUUAUGUAUCAGUACUGCAGUGUAUAUUAUUGAACAAAAUUUCGUGGGACGUACCAAUGAAUGUAAGGAUAAUACGAGUUUUGUGUACUAACGAAGUCUCCGAAACCAAUAGUUGCGAAACUAACGAAACAAAAGUAAAGAGCGUCGAAAUAUUCCCAAUGUUCGAAUUGAACGUAAACCGCUGCAGCGCAGCAAGCUAUCAUACAACACACUAAUAAUAGAAAUAGCAUAACCCAAUAUACGCUUGGUUUCCAUUCAUCGACAUCUAAAUGAUCGUCAUCAUCUUCAAGUAUGUCUGGUAAAGAUUUUUCAUUCUUGGACGAUCCGAACGAACGUCGAGAUAUUGAUAAAUUUUUCCGAAUAUGCCUUUUUAAACGAUGGAUAUGUAUCACUCUCAAAAUCCAAGCAAGGAAAGUGAUGAUCCUUUCAAGAAACAAGUUGAAGAAUAAAAUUCCACCUGUGUUAUAAAAAAGAUAAUGAGAAAAAUUAUAGAUAAAUGAGCGUAAUAACAUUUAUCUUUAAUGCUUAAACUAUUGUAUUACCGGAACAACCAAGAAAGCCAUACAGAACAGCAACUACCUUACCCGCUCUCGUUUGCGGUGUGGUAUUUCCAUAUCCUGGAAAAACAAAUUAAUAAUAACAUCCAUAAUUUAUUUCGAAACUGAAAUGAACAUGUACAAAAGUAAUACAAAGUACCGAUUACACAGUACUGAAGAGGAUAACUGCAAGACUAGGUCGCAAGAUAUUAACAUUCUGGAAUUCACCGGCACAUUCUUAUGUGUGCUGCGGACGACGACCCUUACCCUUUUAGUCAAUGCUUUUAUGACCAAGUUAUGACGCGAUAAUACAGUCGUCAAUAAAUUGACUUUUAAGUGAAUAGUCGGAAAAUGAUCAAACGUGCAAACAAAAUAUAUAGAGUGAAUAUGGUAAAUUAUUUCGUAAUUACUGAUACACUCGUGUCUACAGUCUUUUGAAAGAGAAUACAAAUGGAAGAAAAGUAUAACUGAGAUAAAGACCAGCAUAUGUCUCUGGCGUUCCACUGACCUAUUAUUACGGUUCAGUUACAUUAUAAGAUGAAAUGUUUAGAGUUCCAAAUAGGUCAUGAUAUAUUUCUUACCAAUUGUAGAAACUAUGGUACCCACGAAGUGAAAGCUGCCAAGAAAAUCCCAUCGUCGGCUCUUGUUGAUGACACCGGAGAAUGAAGCGUUUCCAUAUGCAUAUAAUAACUCAUCUAGUCUUUGGAGAGCAAUUGGACUACCUUGCAAAUGAUACUCUCGAAAACUAUGAUAAACGCGCCAAAAUUCUGCAGUCUAUAUAGUGAGCAGAAGUUUAACAUACAAGUAUUAACUUUUACUUCGAUAUUUAUUUAAAUUAAAAAAUAGUAAUAAAACAUAGCAACUUAGACUAAAAAGACAAUUUAAAAUAUAGAUAAAAGAGAACAACCAAAAGAUAAAAAAUGGUUUCAUACCUGUUGCACUUCAAGAUCAGCUUCUAGUUGUUGAAAGAUUGCAGCGCCAGCUAACAUGUACACUGUCAGGGCGGCGAAAUGAAGGAUGAAUCUUGUGUUGUCCUCUCCGAGGCCACCGGGGAGACACAUCACCGACAAUUCUCAUCUCUCCAGAUACAAGAGACUGGUUGCAAUCCCCACUUUUGCCUUUCAUCUGGAUUGGCGCAAACUCAGCGACGAACAUCCACGAAAAUCCGCAGAUGUAUUGUCAACGAACAUUAUCAAGAUACAUCAUUUAAGAUCUAUCGCGACUCAGAAUUUUAUGAUUCUUCAAGAAAAUAUAAGGCAGUAGUAUAUAUCGCUAGUGAAAAAAUCCUAUGAAGGGAAGGUUCUUUGACUAAAGAUAGGAACCAAGUCACUCUACAAAUGGGUCUCUUACGCAUAAGGAUGUAGCGUCGUGUUAUCCAUUUUUUUUUUUAAUAACACUAUGUAUUACAAACCAGCCGUUUACUAGUUUUUAAAGGAUGGAAUUUUUGGGAUAGACAAAAAUAAAUCAUCGUAAAUUUAUAAUAAAAA